AGAGUUUGAUCAUGGCUCAGGAUGAACGCUGGCGGCGUGCCUAACACAUGCAAGUCGAGCGAUUCUCUUCGGAGAAGAGCGGCGGACGGGUGAGUAACGCGUGGGUAACCUGCCCUGUACACACGGAUAACAUACCGAAAGGUAUGCUAAUACGAGAUAAUAUACUUUUAUCGCAUGGUAGAAGUAUCAAAGCUUUUGCGGUACAGGAUGGACCCGCGUCUGAUUAGCUAGUUGGUAAGGUAACGGCUUACCAAGGCGACGAUCAGUAGCCGACCUGAGAGGGUGAUCGGCCACAUUGGAACUGAGACACGGUCCAAACUCCUACGGGAGGCAGCAGUGGGGAAUAUUGCACAAUGGGCGAAAGCCUGAUGCAGCAACGCCGCGUGAGCGAUGAAGGCCUUCGGGUCGUAAAGCUCUGUCCUCAAGGAAGAUAAUGACGGUACUUGAGGAGGAAGCCCCGGCUAACUACGAGCCAGCAGCCGCGGUAAUACGUAGGGGGCUAGCGUUAUCCGGAAUUACUGGGCGUAAAGGGUGCGUAGGUGGUUUCUUAAGUCAGAGGUGAAAGGCUACGGCUCAACCGUAGUAAGCCUUUGAAACUGGGAAACUUGAGUGCAGGAGA
rnacentral:rRNA from 1 species